UUUUUCCUCCCCAAAUCUGUGGAGAUGUGAAAAGCUUUAUUUAUUUAUUUAUUAUUUUUUAAUCAGAAGAAAGAACAAAGACAAGAUGCCAUCAGGGGAGCUUGUUGAUUUUUUCUUCUUGAGAUAUCUGGUUUCACAGUUGUUGAAUGGUGCCAUCUUCAAAGGGGAAUAUUGUGAAUCGGAAAUGCCUGCUUCACACUGUUACUUUGUUUAAUCCAUGAAAGGAACCAUAUGGAGAAUAGACUGAAAUCUUCUGGAUUUGUGGUUGUAGGUAAUUGUUUACUUGGAGCAAAAUUUAGGGAUGCGGACUAUGAGGCAACAUCCACACUAAGGAAGUGGUAGUUGUGGACAUUUCAAGAAACUCCCAAAACGGUUAGAUGUCUGCUCAUCUUUGACAUUCCAGAGUGCCUGCAUUUCUGUUUUUGUCUCUCCUGAUAUGACAGCUACCUUGGCCAGAGCAGUCAUUACAGGAACUUUUCUGUUUGCCAUCUGAACCUGUCUCCAGAACUCACUUUAUGAUCACUGGAAAGAAAGAGAGACUUCAGCUCAUUCUCAGGCACACGUCUAAAAUAAGGCAGCUGAGUCACUGUUUAGACAUUCCUGUUUCUCUCUGCUGACUAUCAAGGAUAUUGUUGAAAAUGAAGACGUGCCUUUUAGAUGGCUGAAAUUAACAAGAUGAAUCCUAUGCUGGGUGAGUAUUUCCCAAGAAAGCAUAGCAGGCAUUCAGGUACCUGGUGAGUCAUACUCAAAGACCCUGAAGGCCCAAGCUGCCCCUGUUUAAGGCACUGGGCUUGUUACAGAGUAGGAUGAUGGCUGCGUGAAAAGCUCAAACAGAAAGAGAGAAAUGCGAUGUCUGCGUAUGAAGGUUAAGAGAAGAACCUGCUACACUGAAAUAACUCAUGGUCCUCUCAGUCUUAAGCAGAUGAAUAAUUAGAUUCUUCUUCAGCAAUCAUCUGAAGGACACAUUUAGUAGUAAUGACAUCAGCAUUGGCCAAUGCACUUUAAGACGAUUUGCAUGAAGUUAGAUAAGUGGCUUAAGUACUUUGCUAAAUCACAGCCACAGGGCAAGAGGCAAUUCCCACUUUACAUACUGCACUGCUAAUAGCAUUUCUGCUCUCUGUAAUGGAGUCCUAAGGGUACAAAAGUCUAUUAAAUUAAAAAA
rnacentral:lncRNA from 1 species